CUUCUGUUCCCUGCCAACCCUGGUCGUAAUCUUGUACACUCACACACACUACAGUACACACACUUCCUCAGUCCAAAAGACCAAAACCAAGCGAACCAAAAAUCAAGCAAACACAUACCUUCCGAUGUUGUCAUCGCCCAUACUUGUCUCCCUCACUUUCUUCAUUUCCCUCCCUCUCGUCCUACUCUUCUCCCCACAAUUCCUCACCACCUCUUACCUCCCCUUCACCUCCGACACUCACGACCACACCCUCUUCCGCCGCGCCAGCGUCACCGCUGCUCACACCACCACCACCACCACAAACAACCCCAAAAUUGCCUUCCUCUUCCUCACAAACUCCAACCUCUCCUUUGCCCCCCUGUGGGAGAAAUUCUUCUCCGGCCAUCGCCAUCUCUUCAACAUCUACAUCCACGCGGACCCGUCCUCCACCGUCGCCGAUCCUGGCGGCGUCUUUCGACGCCGCUUCAUCCCUUCCAAGAAAACCAACCGCGCCUCACCUUCCCUCAUAUCUGCCGCCCGCCGCCUCUUGGCAUCCGCCCUCAUCGACGAUCCCCACAACCAAUAUUUCGCCCUCGUCUCCCAACGCUGUGUUCCUCUAUUGUCGUUUCGAUUCGUUUACAGUUACUUAUUUUGCAACUCAAUCCACUCCAGUUUCAUAGAGAUACUCUCCAACGAGACCAACCUGUAUGACAGGUAUGUAGCUCGUGGAGAAAACGCCAUGCUGCCGGAAGUGCCGUACGAGGAAUUCCGGGUCGGGUCACAGUUCUUUGUCCUGGCCCGGAAGCAUGCGGCGGUUGUGGUGAGGGACAAGAAGCUGUGGAGGAAGUUCCGGCUUCCAUGCGUGACAGAGGAACCGUGUUACCCAGAGGAGCACUACUUUCCGACGCUGCUGUCCAUGGAGGACAGGAAGGGGUGCACCGGAUUCACACUCACAAGGGUUAAUUGGACCGGUUGCUGGGACGGGCAUCCUCAUCUGUAUACGCCGUCGGAGGUUUCGCCGGGGCUCAUUCGCCGGCUAAGAGUGUCAAAUUCGAGCUACCCGUUCCUCUUCGCGAGAAAGUUCUCGCCGGAGUGUCUCGCGCCGCUUAUGGAAAUCGCUGAUGAUGUCAUUUUCCGGGACUGAAUUGACAUCGGACAAUCAAUACCAGCUUUAGCCACCUAAAGCGUGUGAACAGAUAGGAUGUCCAUAUUUCAAAGCAAAUUGGUUCCCUUUUACUCAGGAAUCUUUGAUGAGUUCGGGAAUACUAAAGACAUCUUAAUGUAAAAUGCCAAUGUCUUGGAGUCUUCUUGAUGUGUAUAGAAAAUUCGAUUGCUUUUUUAACUGUAAAGUGUAAUUGUAAUUCGAAUUUCAAGUGUGUGAAUGAACAAGGUGUUUUGGUAUGGCUGCAGAAAAAAGGCAAGGCUGGUCUCCAAAGGAGGCCUAAAUUGUCAAUUAAUGAGCAAUAGUUCAAUUGUAAA